UGUUAAAAAUUUCAUCCAUCUGUACUAUUAAAAACUAGUGUGGCUUAUGAAUAGCCGGAUAGUGACAUAUGGCAUGUCACUUGUACCUUAUGUUGACAUACAAAUAUCAGUUUUUAAUGUUGAAAAUAGAUGAAAUUUUCAAUA
rfam:Gossypium arboreum cultivar AKA8401 contig_9496_3, whole genome shotgun sequence.